AUACGGAGGGUGCAAGCGUUAAUCGGAAUUACUGGGCGUAAAGCGCGCGUAGGCGGUUUGGUCAGUCGGAUGUGAAAGCCCUGGGCUCAACCUGGGAAUUGCAUUCGAUACUGCCUGACUAGAGUAUGGUAGAGGGAAGUGGAAUUUCCGGUGUAGCUGUGAAAUGCGUAGAUAUCGGAAGGAACACCAGUGGCGAAGGCGACUUCCUGGGCCAAUACUGACGCUGAGGUGCGAAAGCGUGGGGAGCAAACAGGAUUAGAUACCCCAGUAGUCC
rnacentral:rRNA from 1 species